rfam:Crassostrea gigas strain 05x7-T-G4-1.051#20 contig1596, whole genome shotgun sequence.
UACACGCUCCUUAGAUCCACCUUUGGGACUUCUGUCUUGGACAGAUAUCCAGCAACUUUACCGGUUGUUUAUCGAAGGUGCAUGAGUCAUAGGCGUGUGACAUUAAUACACCUCAGUCUUGCCAUGAAAUUUUUCAAACACCCUAGGAUUAAAUUCCUACUGUGUGGUAUGAAAAAUCUGGUAAACUGGGACACA